AUAAUAAUAAUUAAAUAAAAAUAUAUAACAACAACUAAAAUAUAUAUAUAUAAUAAUAUCGAUAGGAUUUCUCAUGAUAUCGUAGGCGGCCUAAUAACUUUAUUCGACAUUUUUCUUCUUCGUUCACUUGGCCCUACUAUACACAUGUAUACCCACCGCCAGGCGGCGCUCCCUUCAGUUUAGCGGGAGAUUUGUAUUACAAGUGGCGGCCAUUUUGUUUGUUUACGGAAACGUGAUGAAAGCUUAGACCUAGAACAAAAUCACGUUAUAUAUACAGUACAGUACGGUAUAUAUUGGCGACAUUUAAUUACCCCACUCACGGAACACAAUCGACAAACUGGGAACAGAAUAUCAAAUUUCGUCUAGCUUUUGGUGACUUAUGAUACCCCUUUCACCGGCAAACACUGAAUUAUCGGACAACAUGAAAUCAGGGACUAAAUUCACCAGCAUUCAUGAUCCUCGGACCACCCGCCCCCUACGCACAGCCGAUUUAUAAAUGUUGCAUCUUUCAAUCAGUGUCAAUCCCAAGAAGAACCCUGAUCAGCUCCUGGAAAAAUCAGUGUUCUUGCAGUAUUGUCAGUCAAAUCUCAAGGAAAGGAUCCCAGAAGAGGAACAUUUACAUUA